GUCGUGAGACAGGUUGGUUGCUAUCUAAUGGAAGUGUUAGUAGUCUGAGGGGAAGGUGGCUCCAGUACGAGAGGAACGAGUUGUCGGCGCCUCUGGUCGACCGGUUGUCUGAUAAGGCAAUGCCGGGCAGCUACGCGCUGGACGAUAAAGGCUGAAAGCAUCUAAGCCUGAGGUGUCCCCUGAAAAUAGACUGCUUUAGAACACGAGUAAAAGACUUGUUUGAUGGGGUAGGGAUGUAAGCUUCGAGGUUUUCCGAGUUGUUUAGUCCGCUGCUCCCAACUGUUCGCUUGCUUUGUUUU
rnacentral:rRNA from 1 species